rnacentral:lncRNA from 1 species
UCAACUUGGUUCAGCCCAUUGUUCUAAAAGGCUUAGCAGGGGAUGACUAAUGAGCAGGCUAUGACUUCUUGGAGACAAAGGUGAGAGUUGGGUGAAUCAAGUGACCACUAAAGGUGGAAAGUAGAACCCGAAUAAGAGCUGUAACAAAACAGGGAUUCUCCUGAGACAACUAAAGAUAUGAAGAAAGACUCCAGGAUGGAGGUCACAGAUAAGCAUGGAUAUAAUAUUUAUGUUACUGUGUCUUCCCAGGAUUUCGCACUGCAUGAGAGAACAUUCUUUUGACUUAUAUAUUUGGGGAUUUAGCAGAUGUCUAGACCUUUCAAAAGUAUAUUAGACUGAAGAAAAUGCAGCCCAACUGAAGUCACCAGAGGUACAUGGCAAUCAAAGAAUGUGACAGUUGGUGGUUAGAUUCUGUGACUGUUGGAGUCUAGAGAAAUACACCGAUUCCUAUGGAAGCAAACAACCAGAAGAAAAUUGAGCUCUUGUUUGCUAUUAUUAUAUUCCUAUGUCCAUUGAAAUAAAAAAAGGAGAAAAUCAGAAACCUAGUCUCUGGAUUACAAUUUCAAGUUAACUUCAGGAAAGGUUACUAGUUCCAAAUUUUAAAGGUAGCUAGAGGGAAAGAUAAGUGAGAAAAAUAAGUAUUAACACUUUGCUAGAAACAAAGUAGUUCAGAUUUAGUAAAGGAUUUUUCUUGUGUUGUGGACUCAGAAUCUUAUAUGUGUCUUUUCACAGAAAUGAGAUGUAUGGUCCUCAAAAGAAUUUCCUCUUCUUUUUAGAGUGUGAGAUUGAAACACUUCUCAUGGUUUGGGGGUUCAGCAGUUCACAGUAUAUAACUUUUUAAAUUCCUGUAUGUAUACAGAGAUUCAGAUCAGGCCUAAAUCCCCAACAUCCUGCCUACACUCAACUCCCACUGAAUGUAGAUUAUAUUCUUUAUAUUAAUAACACCUUUCCCAAUUAUGGUUUUCUUCCCAUGUUUUUUAAAUUAGGUGGUUGCUAUUUUCAUUAUGUUUUGAUUAAAUGAACUUUGCUUUGAACUAACAUAUUCUCUGAAUUCUAAAAGUGGGUAGAGAAAUGCUAGUUAUUGUAAUGUUUUAUACAAUGGCAAAAUCAUGAUUUUUCUAGUAAGAUAAAGGCAGGUAAUGAGGUGUUAUGGAAAAGGUGGUGAUUAGGAAUUUUAGGGAAAGUAGAGAGAGAAAAAGGAGAGGAUAGAAAGAGGGAGGGACCUUACCCCAUUUAUUGCUAGGCUGUUAUU